UACGUAGGGUCCGAGCGUUGUCCGGAAUUAUUGGGCGUAAAGAGCUCGUAGGCGGUUUGUCGCGUCUGCUGUGAAAAUUCGAGGCUCAACCUCGAACUUGCGGUGGGUACGGGCAGACUAGAGUGUGGUAGGGGAGACUGGAAUUCCUGGUGUAGCGGUGAAAUGCGCAGAUAUCAGGAGGAACACCGAUGGCGAAGGCAGGUCUCUGGGCCAUUACUGACGCUGAGGAGCGAAAGCGUGGGGGAGCGAACAGG
rnacentral:rRNA from 1 species